rnacentral:rRNA from 2 species
AUAACGACUCUCGGCAACGGAUAUCUCGGCUCUCGCAUCGAUGAAGAACGCAGCGAAAUGCGAUACUUGGUGUGAAUUGCAGAAUCCCGCGAACCAUCGAGUCUUUGAACGCAAGUUGCGCCCAAAGCCAUUCGGCCGAGGGCACGUCUGCCUGGGUGUCACGCAACAU